AGGGGAGUUGCUCCUAGUACGAGAGGACCGGAGUGAACGUACCGCUGGUCUCCCAGCUGUCCCACCAGGGGCACAUGCUGGGUAGCUACGUACGGAACGGAUAACGGC
rnacentral:rRNA from 1 species